rnacentral:lncRNA from 1 species
GGGAAAGGCAGAUCCAACCUUAAUUUGGUGGACACAAUUUAAUCAGCUUCCAGUGAAUAUAAAGCAGGCAGAAAAAGGUGAAAAGGAGAGAGAGACAGGCCCAGCCUCUCAGUCUACAUCUUUCACGCAUGCUGGAUGCUGCCUGCCCUCGAACAUCAGACUCCAACUUCUUCAGUUUUGGGACUUGGACUGGCUCUCCUUGCCCCUUGGCUUGUAGACAGCCUAUUGUGAGACCUUGCGAUCAUGUAUUCUCAACUUUUGAAACCCAUCUGUGUUCAUGAUCUAAGAAGUUAAAGCUCUCCCUGUGGACUAUGCAACAUCACCCCCUGUGGGAUCUUUUCCCUAUAAGAGAAACAUGUAUUCAUGAGUGCUCCAGUUCCAGGUUUAAAGUGAAACUCAGAA